GUAUUGAAGGUGAUGCCUGCCCGGUGACAUAAUGUUAAACGGCCGCGGUAUCCUAACCGUGCGAAGGUAGCGCAAUCAAUUGUCCCGUAAAUCGGGACUAGUAUGAAUGGCUAAACGAGGUUCUAACUGUCUCUUACAGGCAAUCGGUGAAAUUGAUCUCCCUGUGCGAAAGCAGGGAUAAAUCCAUAAGACGAGAAGACCCUGUGGAACUUCAAAAUCAGCAGCCACCCUACAUACAUGCACACCCAACUCGGGCUCACUUAUCUCACGGGUAAUUGGCUUGCAAUUUUUCGGUUGGGGCGACCUUGGAGCAAAACAAAACCUCCAAAAAUUGGACCAUAAAUCUAAACUAAGAGCAACCUCUCCACGUGCGAAUAGCGACCAGACCCAAUAUAAUUGAUCGAUGGACCAAGCUACCCCAGGGAUAACAGCGCAAUCUCCUCCGAGAGUCCAUAUCGACGGGGAGGUUUACGACCUCGAUGUUGGAUCAGGACAUCCUAGUGGUGCAGCAGCUACUAAGGGUUCGU
rnacentral:rRNA from 1 species